AGUGAACGCUGGCGGUAGGCCUAACACAUGCAAGUCGAGCGGCAGCACAGUAAGAGCUUGCUCUUACGGGUGGCGAGUGGCGGACGGGUGAGGAAUACAUCGGAAUCUACUUUUUCGUGGGGGAUAACGUAGGGAAACUUACGCUAAUACCGCAUACGACCUACGGGUGAAAGCAGGGGAUCUUCGGACCUUGCGCGAUUGAAUGAGCCGAUGUCGGAUUAGCUAGUUGGCGGGGUAAAGGCCCACCAAGGCGACGAUCCGUAGCUGGUCUGAGAGGAUGAUCAGCCACACUGGAACUGAGACACGGUCCAGACUCCUACGGGAGGCAGCAGUGGGGAAUAUUGGACAAUGGGCCCAAGCCUGAUCCAGCCAUACCGCGUGGGUGAAGAAGGCCUUCGGGUUGUAAAGCCCUUUUGUUGGGAAAGAAAAGCAGCAGGUUAAUACCCCGCUGUUCUGACGGUACCCAAAGAAUAAGCACCGGCUAACUUCGUG
rnacentral:rRNA from 1 species